AUGACAGAGGACAGAAUCAUCAAAAGUGUCCAGGAGCAACUGUCUGAUCAUAAUAUCCUGUCCUCUUGCCCACCUGAGCUGACUGUUGGUCUUAUCAAGGUGGUGGUCGAACAGCUUAACUCUGCCCUCUCUGCGACCAUCAGCAGAGCCAUUUCAGGGCGGUCCUCCCCUAUUUCUUCUGGUACCCAGGCCGCUGAACAAAUGGUCAACAUGGUCCAGAAAUGUUUUGAUGAUCACACCACCCCAGAGGACCAGAGCUCUACCUCUGUAUUAGAGUCAUGCAUUCCACCUGCAACAGAAGAAGUGAUGACUGUUAUCGCAGAGAUGGUGGGUGAAUUGGAAAAAGAAGAUCCGGAAUUGGCUAAGGUUUUUCGAGAAGUGGCCGUGAAAGUUAAAAUGUUGGCAUCUGGCAGUGACCUUGUAGUGGAGCACCUGGAUGUUGAAGACUCUCCUGUUCCAGAGGAGCUGAACAUAAUAUGUACAUCUUGCAAAGCAAUGAUGCAAAAUCUUGGCACUCUGUUUAGUGUGAAGUUCAAGACCAAAGCCUCAAAGGCUGUGAGUGAAAUUCUUGUGAGAAGGUUAAUGAGCGAUAUCUCUGGUAUGGUUCAACCUUCUCAUUCGUUUAGUACCACUCCAAGCUUGAUGAAUGCAUCUAGCCCAUCUGACAGGAUCCUUGAUUCUGCGGCCACUGAGCUCAUACAGACCAAAGUAGAAUCUGAGGCAUCAAAAAUAAUUGAUAACUUUGUUGAAGAUGUCAAGGACAUUGUGCAGUAUGCUGAAUUAGAUCAGCCAACAAGCACCCAGAGAGAUACCCAAGUGGGACACUGUACGACAAAGCGGAAACCCUUCCAUGCAGCUCGUAGACUCUGCGAGAGACUUCAGGCAAAGCUGGAGACAUUGUUCCUCAGAAUGGGUGGAGCUCCAGUCCAAGGGGAAGAACUUAUGGAAAAAGCUGACUCCAGUGCUGUGCUUCUGGAGCAUACUGACUCCAGUGAUCUGCCUGUUUCAAUCCUGAGCUUGCCUUCCCCAUGUAGGAGUGAAUCCCCUAUAUCAGAACGUAGUUCAUCUUCUUUAUCUGAUGGAUGUGAUUCAACUGACUCUGUAGGAGAGAAAACACCAGAGCAACCUGAAACCAGUAAGAGUGAGGCAAUACUGCAAGUGGUCAACUCAACAGGACUUGGUUCUCUCCGUAAAUGCCAAAGUGAGAACUCUCAACCAUUACUGUCUCUCUGUGAUUCCAACAUGGUGCCCUGCACCAAAGAGGUCUUGUCCCAGAUUGUGACCAUGUAUAGGUCAGAGGUGGCAGAUUUGGAAUGCACAUCAUCUGUUGCAGAGGGUUCCUCUUACAACUCCCUUGAAGUCUGUGGCUUUUUGGACAGUGUCAUGUCUUAUCUAGAAGACAUGCCUGUGUCUGGUUCUUCAUGGUUGGAAGGAUUAAGAGAUACUCCAGCCUCAGUCAUUGAGAAACUCUCCAGUGAGGAGUUCCAGAUGAACGCUACCAACGAAGUGCGAAAAAUACUGAUCAAAUCAGUCAGUAGCUUUCCCAGCAAAGUCAGUUCCAGCCAGACAGAUUCUCAGAUGUUGCCAGCAAAAUCAACAAUUUCCUUAAGGCAUACAGAUAUAACUGCUUUUGAAAUCGUUGGAUCAAUUACAAAUGACAUGAAGAGCCUUUUCCCACCCACAGAGUCUUCUACUACUCUAUGGCAGGCAGACUCUAUGCUUCAACAGAGUGAUGAGAAAACCUCAGAGUACACUGAGGCCACACCCAAAGGCUCACAGUCUGGUUUGGAAGUAUCUGAGAAGAAGAUCUGGACAACUGCAAAGACUAUUUACCACAAUGUGAAGACAAAGAUGAGGAAUUAUUUUACAUGGCAAAAUCCAGUCAAAGCAACAACGGCUCAAGCCAAAAAGACCCUCAGCCAUAUUCUGGUUUCAAUUCAGAAAGAGCUGUCAAAAUCGGACCAAACGGUGACUGCGCUUUCACAAAUAGAGAAUGUGGUUGGAAUGAUGCUGAAGGAUGUUGAAAGGGUAAGCAGUGAAUGUGGUGAGGAACUGAUCUAUCAAGCGCCACAGCGUUCUUCCUCCUCGUUGUCAUCCUCAUCUGCCAGAUCAAAGAAGUCAGAGUGGGAAUUUUCACUCCCUGGCACUCCCAUCUCUUCUGAUUUACCAGAGAGUAUUACUCAGCCCAUUGUGAGAUGCUCAGUCAUCGACAUGGGCAAAUCUACUAAGCCAAAAACAUUGGUGUGUGAUGCCAGGGAAAGCAUGUCUGCAAUAGUGGAUACCAUCAUAAAGGAGGUACAUCCAGAGGAAGAAGGGGAGGUUGCAUUCCAACCUGAUCUAACAGCUGCAAUAGCAAGACUGGAGGAGCUCAUAUCUCAGGGUAGGAUUGGUGCUCUCUCACGUGAUCUUACUCACCAAGUCAACCGCAUCAUUUCUGAGAGCAACUUGACCCCUCUGGUUCUGACAGUGGCGGCUGGAAAGAGUGCAUCCGAUACAGUCCUUACUGAGCUGAAGAGGAAUGACAAGACGGUGGGGAAGCCCACAGCUUACAAGCUGGUUCAGCUUUUUGCAGAGGAGUCUGUGAAGCGCCUCUUGCUUCCUAGCCUUGUGCCCUCUACAGCUUCAAUGAGUUUGGCUCAGGGAGUUAGUGUGCCGGCUAGCGUAUCUGAAGAUAGGAUUUCAUGUUAUUUUUCUACAUCAGCAUUUAGUGACACAGUCAGCCUGUUUACCAAAGUAAUGGUAAGCCAGGUCAUGGACUCUGUGGUUUCUGAUGCACAAAGCAGAGGGUCAUCUCCAACCGGAACUGUAACUGAUAUAGGCAGUCUACUGAGUGGUAAGUCCUACCCUCUGCCAUCUUUCUCCGCCAUCAGCAUGACAACAAGUGGGACCUCCAAUGCUGCACGAGGCUUUGAGGCCAACAUAGAUGCUGAGGAAAGGGAUACCAUCAGUUGUUUCGGUGUACCUCAGAGCAUUGUUUGUGAUCAGAAUUCAACCAGCCCGGAUGUUGCUUCGCUUUCAACCCCAUCCACUGACAACUUAGUCAGUGAUGAUGACUUCACCGGCCUCAUCAGCAUGUUAGUGGUGAGACUUCUGUCAAAAAUCCAAACCCAAACUGAUCUGUACCCAACUGACGUCACACGCACGUCACAAGACCUGAUUCCAAAAGUUAUAGCUGCCUUCUGUGCAUGGUCAGGCUGCUCUGAGACCCAAGCUUAUCCCAAGAACCUGAAGAGUCACAAAGUAUACAGCACCGUCUACAAACAUCUGUUGAAGGAGUUUGGCUCAGAGAAAAUACUCCAACUGGCCGUGUCGACUCAGGACUCCACUUUCAAUAGGAUUCUUGUGAAGUCAUUGAGCAAGGAGCUUCUCCACAGUUGUAACGAGGCAUCAAGAGCAGCCUCAAGAACAUCUUUCGAAGCCACCAGGCCAGAAGCUCUUCUCAUGGCUGAAGAUGUGAAGGCUACCAGAGGGAAGCUGUCUUUCCUACAAAGGCUUGCCAGACUGAAAUUCAACUUAAAGCCAUUCAUGAUGGGAAACAAGAAGGAUUCCAAUAAGAAAUCCCGCCAUUCUGAAUCCAAAGACCAGACUACUGCUGAAGAUAUCAUGUGUAAGUCCAUACAGCAGGACAUUUACUGUUUGAGAUAUUGGUGUACAAAGCUGCUAUUGCAAAAAUAUUAAACCCUAUAUACAGUACAU
rnacentral:lncRNA from 1 species